GACGAACGCUGGCGGCGUGCUUAACACAUGCAAGUCGAACGGAAAGGCCCUGCUUUUGUGGGGUGCUCGAGUGGCGAACGGGUGAGUAACACGUGAGUAUCCUGUCCCUGUCUUUGGGAUAACUUCAGGAAACUGGGGCUAAUACCGGAUAGGAGCUCCUGCUGCAUGGUGGGGGUUGGAAAGUUUCGGCGGUUGGGGAUGGACUCGCGGCUUAUCAGCUUGUUGGUGGGGUAGUGGCUUACCAAGGUUUUGACGGGUAGCCGGCCUGAGAGGGUGACCGGCCACAUUGGGACUGAGAUACGGCCCAGACUCCUACGGGAGGCAGCAGUGGGGAAUAUUGCACAAUGGGCGGAAGCCUGAUGCAGCAACGCCGCGUGCGGGAUGACGGCCUUCGGGUUGUAAACCGCUUUCGCCUGUGACGAAGCGUGAGUGACGGUAAUGGGUAAAGAAGCACCGGCUAACUACGUG
rnacentral:rRNA from 1 species